AUGGAGCAGGACGAGCCAGGUCACGCCGAACACAGUUCAGAGCAGACGCCCAAAGACAAUGAUACAGAGGGGCGAGUUCAUCAAAUCGGCCCAGGACAAGAAGACAGUCCAGACGAUGAUGCAUUCAUCAUUCCGGAAGAACGCGUGGAACGAGAUAACCUCCACAGAAAGCUUAUGGCCACAGCGAGAAGUCUGAAGAAGCAGAAGCAACGGCUUAAAGCCGCACAUAAAACGCUGAACCAUAGAUGGAACAAAGUGCUAGACAUUGAAGAAAGGUAUGGCGACGAUCGCCAUACAAAGAGCUACCCAAAAUGCAAGCUACUGCCAGAAUUCGACGACGAGGCCGUUCCACCAAAGAGUGACACGACCAGGAGGCCAGACGUACCACUUCAUAACCACAAAGCAGCUACCGACGCCGCGCACGAUCUACGUGAGCACCUGGAUAAGAAAGCUGGCGCAGCUAGGUCCAUCUACGGAUCUAAAGGACACACCCCGGCGAGGGACUGUAGUCAUCAAAAUGAUUAUGCUAAUCACAUGCCAGUUCGGAAUAAACACCGGACACAACAACAGCCGACGGCAUGCCACAACACGUCCAGAUAUAGAGGGGCUGCUCACCCCCUGUGCUUUACCGAAGAGGUACUGGACCAUGAAUUCCCACAGGGCUUUAAACCUGUGAACAUAGAGGCAUACGACGGAACGACAGACCCAGGGGUCUGGAUCGAGGGCUUUAUCCUACACAUACAUAUGGCUCGUGGGGAUGACCUCCACGCCAUCAAAUACCUUCCCCUCAAACUAAAGGGACCAGCUAGGCACUGGUUGAAAAGCCUCCCCGAAAAUUCAAUUGGGAGUUGGGAGGAACUCGAGGACGCCUUCAGGGUGAAUUUUCAAGGGACUUAUGUCCGGCCUCCGGAUGCUGACGAUUUAAGUCACAUAAUCCAACAGCCCGGAAAGUCUUAG
rnacentral:rRNA from 1 species